rnacentral:rRNA from 1 species
GCAAGAUACCACGGGCGCACGGCGGAUGCCUUGGCACAGGGAGCCGAUGAAGGACGCGGCAAGCUGCGAUAAUCCCCGGCGAGGAGCACACAUCCUUCGACCCGGGGGUCUCCGAAUGGGCGAACCCAUCCGUAGAGGUACGGAUAUCCCCACCCCGAACACAUAAGGGUGGGGAGGACAACCCGGGGAACUGAAACAUCUAAGUACCCGGAGGAGAGGAAAUCAAUCUCGAGACUCCCCGAGUAGCGGCGAGCGAAAGGGGACCGAUGGCCAAACCGUCGAGCGGGCAUACCCGGCAGGGGUUCCGCCGGCGGGGUUGCAGGGCCGCGCAUCCGGGGGCUGCCGCCCCCGGGCGCAGGUCCGGCUGGGGAGCGGAACGGCAUGGGAGGGCCGGCCGCAGCGGGUGACAGCCCCGUACGCGAACCCAGACCGGACGGCGCGACGCGGUCCCUGAGUAGGGCCGGGCACGUGAAACCCGGUCCGAACCUGGGUGGACCACCAUCCAAGCCUGAGUACUACCCUGUGACCGAUAGCGCACCAGUACCGUGAGGGAAAGGUGAAAAGCACCCCGGGAGGGGAGUGAAACAGUACCUGAAACCGUGCGCCCACGAGCAGUCGGAGCACCUAUAUGGUGUGACGGCGUGCCUUUUGUAGAAUGAGCCAGCGAGUCGCUGGCGCGGGGCGAGGUUAACCGAAAGGGAGCCGGAGCGAAAGCGAGCCUUAACAGGGCGACUUGAGUCCCGCGCCGCGGACGCGAAGCCGGGUGAGCUAUCCGUGGGCAGGCUGAAGCGGGGGUAAGACCCCGUGGAGGGCCGAACGCACGUCGGUUGAAAACGGCGGCGAUGACCUGCGGAUAGGGGUGAAAGGCCAAUCAAACCCGGAGAUAUCUCGUUCUCCCCGAAAUAGCUUUAGGGCUAGCGUCGCGCGUUCACCGCCGGAGGUAGAGCACCGGAUGGACGAGGGGGCUUCGCCGCCUACCGAAUCCAACCGAACUCCGAAUGCCGGCGGCCCAGAGCGCGGCAGUCAGAGCAUGUGGGCUAAGCUGUGUGCUCGAGAGGGAAACAGCCCGGACCGCCCGCUAAGGUCCCCAAGUUCCAGCCGAGUGGCAAAGGAUGUGCGUCCGCCCAGACAACCAGGAUGUUGGCUUAGAAGCAGCCAUGCAUUCAAAGAGUGCGUAACAGCUCACUGGUCGAGUGGACAUGCGCCGACAAUACACGGGGCUAAGCUGGACACCGAAGCGGCGGGAUUUUAUCUAUAUAGAAUCGGUAGGGGAGCUUCCCAUGGGCGGUGAAGCCGCCGGGCGACCGGCGGUGGAGCGCAUGGGAGUGAGAAUGCUGGCAUGAGUAGCGAGAGACGAGAGAGUAACUCGUCCGCCGUGAACCCGAGGUUUCCUGGGCAAGGCUAAUCCUCCCAGGGUCAGUCGGGGGCUAAGGCGAGGCCGGAAGGCGUAGCCGACGCGCAGCAGGCAGACAUUCCUGCACCGCGCACGCGGCGCUACGACCGACGGGGCGACGGAUGGGGGUGGCUCGGCGGGGUUCUGGACGUCCCCGUGAUGGAGCGCGGCCCGCGGACCAGGGAAAUCCGGUCCGCACGAGGGCGAGGCUCCGGACGAAGCGAUCAAGCGAAGCGAGUGAGCCCGAGGUCCCUAGAAAAACCCCUAGGCAGGCGCGUGCGCGCCCGUACCGCAAACCGACACAGGUGGGUGGGUAGAACAUACCGAGGCGAUCGGGUCAACCAUGGUCAAGGAACUCGGCACAAUGGCCCCGUAACUUCGGGAGAAGGGGUGCCCGCGCGUACGUGAACGGACUUGCUCCGGGAGCGGAGGCGGGCCGCAGUGGAGAGGCCCAAGCGACUGUUUACCAAAAACACAGGACUCUGCAGAAGCCGCAAGGCGACGUAUAGGGUCUGACGCCUGCCCGGUGCCGGAAGGUCACGCGGAGGAGUUAGCUUUCGAGCGAAGCCCCGAAGCCAAGCCCCGGUAAACGGCGGCCGUAACUAUAACGGUCCUAAGGUAGCGAAAUUCCUUGUCGGGUAAGUUCCGACCUGCACGAAAGGCGCAACGACUUGGGCGCUGUCUCGACCAUGGACCCGGUGAAAUUGCACUGGUCGUGAAGAUGCGACUUACCCGCGGAAGGACGGAAAGACCCCGUGAACCUUCACUGCAGCUUGGCAUUGGCCGCUGGUCCCGCGUGUAGAGGAUAGGCAGGAGGCACAGAUCCGGAGGCGCCAGCCCCCGGGGAGCCGCCCUUGGAAUACUGCCCUCGCGCGACCGGCGUCCUAACCCGAGGCCGUCAACCGGCUCGGGGACCGUGCCAGGCGGGCAGUUUGACUGGGGCGGUCGCCUCCUAAAGGGUAACGGAGGCGCGCGAAGGUCCGCUCGGGACGGUCGGCAACCGUCCUUUUGAAUGCAAGAGUACAAGCGGGCUUGACUGCGAGGCCCACAAGCCGAGCAGGUGCGAAAGCAGGCUCUAGUGAUCCGGCGGCCCCGAGUGGGUGGGCCGUCGCUCAACGGAUAAAAGGUACUCCGGGGAUAACAGGCUGAUCUUGCCCAAGAGUCCACAUCGACGGCAAGGUUUGGCACCUCGAUGUCGGCUCAUCGCAUCCUGGGGCUGGAGCAGGUCCCAAGGGUACGGCUGUUCGCCGUUUAAAGCGGUACGCGAGCUGGGUUCAGAACGUCGUGAGACAGUUCGGUCCCUAUCCUCCGUGGGCGCAGGAGAAUCGAUGGAGGCUGCCCCCAGUACGAGAGGACCGGGGUGGACGCACCUCCGGUGAACCGGUUGUCGACCAACGGCACGGCCGGGUAGCCGCGUGCGGCGCGGAUAACCGCUGAAGGCAUCUAAGCGGGAAGCCGUUCCAGGGAUUAGUUCUCCUUCCGGUAAGGGCCCAGGUAGACUACCUGGUCGAUAGACGGCAGGUGCAAGGACGGCGACGUCCUCAGCCGAGCCGCACUAAUCGCCCGAGCUCUUCCG